rnacentral:rRNA from 1 species
UACGUAGGGUGCGAGCGUUGUCCGGAAUUAUUGGGCGUAAAGCGCACGUAGGCGGAUUGCUAAGUCAGGGGUGAAAUCCUGGAGCUCAACUCCAGAACUGCCUUUGAUACUGGCGAUCUUGAGUCCGGGAGAGGUGAGUGGAACUGCGAGUGUAGAGGUGAAAUUCGUAGAUAUUCGCAAGAACACCAGUGGCGAAGGCGGCUCACUGGCCCGGUACUGACGCUGAGGAGCGAAAGCGUGGGGAGCGAACAGG